AAAUACAAAACUUAACUGAGCGUGACGGCAUGUGCCUGUAAUUCCAGCUACUCUGGAGGCAGAGGCAGGAGAAUUGCUUGAAUUCUGGGAGGUGGAGUCUCCCAGAGAUCCGAGAUUGGGCUACUGCACUUGAGCCUGGUUGACAGAGUGAGACUCUGUCUCAAAAAAAAAAAAAAAAAAGUUUUCAUUACAAAUUGUUGAAGCAGAAGGAUAUUUAAGAAUGUAUACGGAAUGGAGACAUCUUUCUCUUUUUCACGUAACAAUUCAUCAUAGAGAUUGUUUCUUCAUAGAGUUCAUUUUUUUAAAUUGUUCCAAAGUGUUUAGUGAUGGGUAUUUAGGUUGUUUCUGAUCUUCUGAUACAGACAAUGUUGACUUUUUACCUUUCCAAGCUACUUUGUUUUAGUUGGGUCUCUUAACCUCAGAAUGUAAUUUGAUUUUGUUUUUGUUUUUAACUGAGAGACUUUUAGUAGUUGAAUUUCCCAUUUGUAUUUGCUGAUAAUUUUAGUAAUAGCAACUCACUUCCAUUGAACACGUCUGUGUAUCCAGUACUGCUCUAAGCACAUUAUUUAGACUGCCUUUAAUCUUUCCAACUCUCUGAGUGGGGUACUAAUUACCUGCACUUUACCCAUAGGAGACUCAGGGAGAGAGGAAAUAGCUUACCAAGCCUAGUAAAGUGGAAGGCUGGGAUUUGAUCCCAGUCAGUUUGACUUCACAUCUCUUAAUCGGACUGGUAUGGCAUGCUACUAUGUGACAGAUAUGUUUGGUCUUAAUUUAACUAUUUUUUUUAAAUGUUAUGCUUCAUGUUUUUAAUGUAUUUUAUUUAUGUAUUAGUAUUUUUUAACUGAAGACUUGUUUUUCUCUUUGCUUUGUAUUGGGUGUGUGUUCUUGGUAAUAAUUAAAAGGACUCAUGUUUGCAUAUUUUAGUAUAAUUUGAUAUAUUUACCCUGUAUUUGUUUAGGGGUAACUAUCUCCUUCCUGCUGUAAUCAGUGACCAGGUUGGUAUUGCCACAUGUUCUUGCCUCCCCUUCCUUCUCUCCACCACCUGCUUUUGAUUAAUGAUGUUACUAAACUUAUUCCAGUGUUAACAUUUAUAACUUUAUGUUUACUAAUGCCUCUGAUACUUUAUCAGUUUUAAAUAAUAUCUUUUGAUUUCACUGUAAGAGGCAAGUGUCUUUACACUCUCUCCUUCUUUCCUUGUGCACUGCUCAACUUGAUAACAUUUUUUUCCAUUAAAAUUUAUAACAUUUACAUUCUGUUCUUAAUUCCCAGAAAAUAAAAGUCUUUUUUUUUUUUUUUUUUGAGACAGAGUCUCACUCCAUCGCCCAGGCUGGAAUGCAGUGGUGCGAUCUCAGCUCACUGCAACCUCCGCCUCCCACGUUCAAGCAAUUCUCCUGCCUCAACCUCCCAAGUAGCUGGGACUACAGGUGCACACCACCAUGCCUGGCUAAUUUUUGUAUUUUUAGUAGAGAUGGGGUUUCCCCAUGUUGGCCAGGCUGGUCUCAAACUCCUGACCUCAGGUGAUCUGCCCGCCUCGGCCUCCCAAAGUGCUGGGAUUACAGGCAUGAGCCACCGUGCCCGGCCAAAGAAAAGUCUUUAUUCCUACGUCUUAAAUGGCUUCAUUGCUCACCGUAAGUCUUUUGCUGGACUUUCUGCAUUCUUCUUGAGUGGAUAAAGUUUAUCCUCUAAUAGUUCAUGAACCCAUACAUUUUGGCUCAUGGGAAUGAAAUUUUCCAAGUUCUUGUAUGUUUAAGGAUAUAUAUUUUUUCUCCUUAGUAUUUUAUUUUAUUGUUUUUUUUUAAUUGACACAUAAUGUGCAUAUUUAUGGGGUAUAGAGUGAAGUUUUGAUACAUAUAAUGUGUGGUUAUCAGAUCAGGGUAAUUAGCAUAUCCAUCAUCUCAAAUAUUAGAUAUUUUGAUUUUGUAACAUACUUGAUUGACACUGUGGCCAGAUAUAGAAUUCUUGGGUCGUACCUUCUUCCCUUGAAGACUCUAAGUGUGGCCCCAUGUGUCCUAGUGUUAAAUGUAGCCGUGUUGAAGGCUGAGGCUGAUUGUACUUUCCCUGUUGUAGGGGUGUAUUAGUCUACUCGGCUGCUAUAAUUUUGUUUAUACCACAGGUUGGGUGGCUUAAACAGCAGACAGUUCGUUGUUUUCUCACAGUUCUGGAGGUUAGAAGUCCAAGAUCGAGGUGCCGUCGGGGUUGGCUCCUGGCGCAGCCCUCUUCCUGGCUUGUAUGUGGUCACCUUUCCUGCUGUGUCCUCACAUGCCUUUCCCCUGUGUGAGCGUAGAGUGGGGAGAGAAUAGGAGAGAGAGGUUGAUUUCUGGUGUCUCUUCCUUUUCUUAGAAGACCUUCCUCCAGUCCUAUCAAAUUAGGGCCCCGCCCCUAUGACCUCAGGUAAUCGUGAUGACCUCUUGAAAGGCCCUAUUUCCAAUUAUAGUACACUGGGAGUUAGGGCUUUAAUGUAUGAACUGGGGGUAGGGGGAGCACAGUUCAUUCAUAAUAAAGGGUAAUGUAUACGUUUUGCCCAAAGGUCCAGAGACUUUUUAUUUUUUCAGUUUUAAAUACGAGAUAUAGACCCAUAUUUGUUGACAAGGAAAAAUGUUCAUAGUAUAUUGUUGAAUGAGAAAAAUCAAGUUUAUUUAUUCUUUUUCUGUUUCUGUUGUCUGUCAUUUCCUCCUGUUUGAUGAUGGUUAUUGUUUUAAAAUAGAUACUUGGAUUCUUGGAAAUGUCUUUGGAAAUUCUUGGGAAUUUUUAUCUGCUUUGUUUCAAUAUUUUUCCAGAUAUUUUUUUUUUCGUUCUUUCUGGAGACAGGAUCUUGCUCUGUCACCCAGGUUUGGAGUGCAGUGGCACAAUCUUGGUUCAUGUAGCCUUCACCUCCGAGGCUCAAGUGGUCCUACCUCAACCCCCUAGUAGCUGGGAUCACAGGCAUGUGCGACCACACUUGGCUGACUUUUAAAUUUUUUCAUAGAGGUGGGGUCUCCCAAUAUUGCCCAGGCUGGUCUCAAACUCCUGGACUCAAGUGAUCCUCCCUCCUCAGCCUCCUAAAGUGCUAGGAUUAUGGGCGUGAGCUACCACGCCUGCCCCUAGAUAUGUGUUUUUGUCUGCCAUUUGUUUUUUCCUCUUUCUCUGUCCCUUUUCUUUUUCUUUGAGUGUUUUUAUAUCACUGUUGGCUGGCUUCUUUGUGCCCCUUACUCGUCUCCGAAUGAGCAGAGUUCUUCUGGACUAAUGGCGUGUGGGUAGGCUGGGGAGGUCCUGGGCAGUGUCUGGGGGAAGCUGUGAUCUGCCCUGGACUCUUCCCUUGCCGCUGGACUGCAAGGGUGCUUGGCCUAACCUUGCCUGCUCUGCCACCCUGUGGCUCCUCACACCGGCCUGACCUGAGCAAGGGCUUGCUGCUCCUCUGGCUCUCCUUUGCUGAGACCUGAAGUCACCGGUUCGCCUUUGAUGUCCUCACUCGUCUUGGUUGUGUUUUCAUAGCCCUUGGCAACUUGCUUCUGGGAUAUUCAGUUUCAGGGUGUUUAGGUGUUACGUUAUUGAAGAUAGAGUUUCUUUUUCUGUAACUUGUUCUAAUUUGGGUGGGUAAUAAGAACAGAGGCCUUCAGAGAAGUAUUUACUCUGACGUCUUAAAGCUUUUAAGGCCCACGGCCAGAUUUCUUUAAUACACUUUGGGCAUCUUCUGUCUGUAAAAUCAGGGAAUUGUAUAAUGUCCUCGCUAACAUACUUUCAGGUUAACCUGUUUAUGGUUCUGAUGUAUUUACAUGAAAUUUGGGUAAACACUAAAUAUAGUGAAUGUUUUCUUACAGACAGAACCUCCACUCAAUACACCAGAAAACAGAGAGUAUCUUGCAGAAAUUAUGUUUGAAUCAUUUAACGUACCAGGACUCUACAUUGCAGUUCAGUGCUGGCCUUGGCGGCAUCUUGGACAUCUCGACAAGUGGGUGAACGUACGUUAACGGGGAUAGUCAUUGACAGCGGAGAUGGAGUCACCCAUGUUAUCCCAGUGGCAGAAGGUUAUGUAAUUGGAAGCUGCAUCAAACACAUCCCGAUUGCAGGUAGAGAUAUUACGUAUUUCAUUCAACAGCUGCUAAGGGAGAGGGAGGUGGGAAUCCCUCCUGAGCAGUCACUGGAGACCGCAAAAGCCAUUAAGGAGAAAUACUGUUACAUUUGCCCCGAUAUAGUCAAGGAAUUUGCCAAGUAUGAUGUGGAUCCCCGGAAGUGGAUCAAACAGUACACGGGUAUCAAUGCGAUCAACCAGAAGAAGUUUGUUAUAGACGUUGGUUACGAAAGAUUCCUGGGACCUGAAAUAUUCUUUCACCCGGAGUUUGCCAACCCAGACUUUAUGGAGUCCAUCUCAGAUGUUGUUGAUGAAGUAAUACAGAACUGCCCCAUCGAUGUGCGGCGCCCGCUGUAUAAGAAUGUCGUACUCUCAGGAGGCUCCACCAUGUUCAGGGAUUUCGGACGCCGACUGCAGAGGGAUUUGAAGAGAGUGGUGGAUGCUAGGCUGAGGCUCAGCGAGGAGCUCAGUGGCGGGAGGAUCAAGCCGAAGCCUGUGGAGGUCCAGGUGGUCACGCAUCACAUGCAGCGCUACGCCGUGUGGUUUGGAGGCUCCAUGCUGGCCUCGACUCCCGAGUUCUUUCAGGUCUGCCACACCAAGAAGGACUAUGAAGAGUACGGGCCCAGCAUCUGCCGCCACAACCCCGUCUUUGGAGUCAUGUCCUAGUGUCUGCCUGAACGCGUCGUUCGAUGGUGUCACGUUGGGGAACAAGUGUCCUUCAGAACCCAGAGAAGGCCGCCGUUCUGUAAAUAGCGACGUCGGUGUUGCUGCCCAGCAGCGUGCUUGCAUUGCCGGUGCAUGAGGCGCGGCGCGGGCCCUUCAGUAAAAGCCAUUUAUCCGUGUGCCGAGCGCUGUCUGCCAGCCUCCUCCUUCUUCCGCCCUCCUCACCCUCGCUCUCCCUCCUCCUCCUCCUCCGAGCUGCUAGCUGACAAAUACAAUUCUGAAGGAAUCCAAAUGUGACUUCGAAAAUUGUUAGAGAAGACAACAUUAGAAAAUGGCGCAAAUCGUUAGGUCCCAGGAGAGAAUGUGGGGGCGCAAACCCUUUUCCUCCCAGCCUCCCAGCCUAUUUUUGUAAAUAAAAUGUUUAAACUUGAAAUACAAAUCGAUGUUUAUAUUUCCUAUCAUUUUGUAUUUUAUGGUAUUUGGUACAACUGGCUGAUACUAAGCACGAAUAGAUAUUGAUGUCAUGGAGUGCUGUAAUCCAAAGUUUUUAAUUGUGAGGCAUGUUCUGGUAUGUUUAUAGGCAAACAAAUAAAACAGCAAACUUUUUUGCCACAUGUUUGCUAGAAAAUGAUUAUACUUUAUUGGAGUGACAUGAAGUUUGAACACUAAACAGUAAUGUAUGAGAAUUACUACAGAUACAUGUAUCUUUUAGUUUUUUUUGUUUGAACUUUCUGGAGCUGUUUUAUAGAAGAUGAUGGUUUGUUGUCGGUGAGUGUUGGAUGAAAUACUUCCUUGCACCAUUGUAAUAAAAGCUGUUAGAAUAUUUAU
rnacentral:sRNA from 1 species